rnacentral:lncRNA from 1 species
AAAAAGAUCUAAUAGAAUGAAAGCUUCCUACGUUUAAAGAAGUGUAACCAAGAAUAUUACAAGAUUCUCCUUCAUUCUAUCUGGACCAGAAAAUGAAAGCUCUUUUGAUUUUCAGUAAAGAGCACCAUACAACUAGAAGUCCAGGAGAAGCCAUUGCUUUAAAAUCAAUGUAAUGCUUGGAGAUCCAGCAGUUCAUUCAAGAUGAAACAAAUCUAGACGGAAAUGGGAAGGGAUCUGAAGUGAAGUUAAAUUUUCUGCUUCAACGAAAACAAAAUAAAAGCUAAUGUCCA